UCCUCAGCGACGGACCGGGCC
rnacentral:sRNA from 1 species